UGGGGAAUUUUGGACAAUGGGGGAAACCCUGAUCCAGCCAUCCCGCGUGUGCGAUGAAGGCCUUCGGGUUGUAAAGCACUUUUGGCAGGAAAGAAACGUCAUGGGUUAAUACCCCGUGAAACUGACGGUAUCUGCAGAAUAAGCACCGGCUAACUACGUGCCAGCAGCCGCGGUAAUACGUAGGGUGCAAGCGUUAUUCGGAAUUACUGGGCGUAAAGCGUGCGCAGGCGGUUCGGAAAGAAAGAUGUGAAAUCCCAGAGCUCAACUUUGGAACUGCAUUUUUAACUACCGGGCUAGAGUGUGUCAGAGGGAGGUGAAAUUCCGCGUGUAGCAGUGAAAUGCGUAGAUGUGCGGAGGAACACAGAUGGCGAAGGCAGCCUCCAGGGCUAACACUGACGCUCAUGCACGAAAGCGUGGGGAGCAAACAGG
rnacentral:rRNA from 1 species